GUGCUUGCUUCAGCAGCACAUAUACUAAAAUUGGAAAGAUACAGAGAAGAUUAACAUGGCCCCUGAGCAAGGAUGACAUUCAAAUUCUUGAAGUGUUCCAUAUUAAA